CCCUUAGAUGUCCUGGGCGGCCCGCGCGCUACAAUGUCAGCUACUGAAGGUUAAUGCUUUGAAAGAGAGCGCGCUCUCCUUUUAAUUGCUCGCAUGCUGGGAUAAAUGAAUGCAAUUUUGUUUUGAACGAGGAAUUCCUAGUAGCCAUGUUUCACUAGAAGAUGGCGAAUGCGUCCCUGCCCUUUGUACACACCGCCCGUCGCUCCUACCGAUGAGCGUUUUGGCGAAGACGGUUUGAGUGGCUGCGUAAUUUCGUGUUGUUGACUCCGGCAGUUUGAGCCUUCACGUUUAGAGGAAGGAGAAGUCGUAACA
rnacentral:rRNA from 1 species